UCGAGAAUUUUUCUCAAUGGGGGAAACCCUGAAGGAGCGACGCCGCGUGGAGGAUGAAGGUCUUCGGAUUGUAAACUCCUGUCAUUGGUGAACAAGGCUGGGCGAGUAACUGCGCUCCAGUUUGAUAGUAGCCGAAGAGGAAGAGACGGCUAACUCUGUGCCAGCAGCCGCGGUAAUACAGAGGUCUCAAGCGUUGUUCGGAUUCAUUGGGCGUAAAGGGUGCGUAGGCGGUGAGGUAAGUCUGGUGUGAAAUCCCGGGGCUCAACCCCGGAACUGCACUGGAUACUGCUUUGCUAGAGUACUGGAGAGGGAACUGGAAUUUACGGUGUAGCAGUGAAAUGCGUAGAUAUCGUAAGGAAGACCAGCGGCGAAGGCGAGUUCCUGGACAGUUACUGACGCUGAGGCACGAAGGCCAGGGGAGCAAACG
rnacentral:rRNA from 1 species